rnacentral:rRNA from 1 species
UACGUAGGGUGCAAGCGUUGCCCGGAUUUAUUGGGCGUAAAGGGCGCGUAGGCGGCUCGGCACGUCCGUUGUGAAAUCGCCCGGCUCAACUGGGCGGGGUCAGCGGAUACGGUCGAGCUUGAGCAAGCUAGGGGGCAAUGGAAUUCCCGGUGUAGUGGUGGAAUGCGUAGAUAUCGGGAGGAACACCAGUGGCGAAGGCGGGUCUCUGGGCCGAUACUGACGCUGAGGAGCGAAAGCGUGGGGAGCGAACAGG